AACUAGUUAGUUUACAAAGAACUUCUAUUUUGAAAGUAGGAAGAGACCAAUAAACAGGUCACUAGUUU
rnacentral:tRNA from 1 species